UAAAGUCACUAGUUUCAAAAGAGGAACUGGUGAAGAUGACUGUGAUGGGGUGUACUUGGCCUUUGAGACUCCCUACAGGAGACCCUGCAGUCCUCCUAUACCCUGCCCCAGGAAGCAGCGAAGUGGCAGGAAAGGAGCAGCCACUCAGAGCAGAGCAAGCUCAGAUAAAGAGAGCUGCAGGGCCUUAGCUGGUCAGUUCUUAGCUGGGAUCAGAGGAGUGAAGAGGGGUGCUGCUCUCUGACCUGGAGAUGGAGAAGAACCUGAGGACGUUGGCCCUGACAGAGGGCUGGAGAUAAGAGGCCCAGUAGAAAGAGGCCCAAGGGAACAGUAGUGAUGGAUUGGAACAAGCAAUCUUCAGUCACUCGUCUCAUGAACACUUGGAAUACAGAACAGUCAUCUCCAUAGACACAGCAAACUUCAGCAAAGGAUUGACCAAGACACUGAGGGGUUUUCGCCUUCC